GACAGAGGGUGCAAGCGUUGUUCGGAAUUACUGGGCGUAAAGGGCGUGUAGGCGGUGGAGUGUGUCUGGUGUGAAAUCCCUCGGCUUAACCGGGGAACUGCAUUGGAAACUACUUUGCUAGAGUGCGAGAGAGGAAGGCGGAAUUCCUGGUGUAGAGGUGAAAUUCGUAGAUACCAGGAGGAACACCGGAGGCGAAGGCGGCCUUCUGGCUCGUAACUGACGCUGAGACGCGAAAGCGUGGGUAGCAAACAGG
rnacentral:rRNA from 1 species